ensembl:lncRNA
GAAAAAUUAGGUAAACGUAAGUCGAUCUGGAUAAGGCCGCCAAAUGCCAAAUGCCGUAAUUGUAAUAAUAAUGAUAAUAAUAAUAAUAAUAAUAAUAAUAAUAAUAAUAAUAAUAGCCACAAGCCACUUAGAUAUUAUGGGGGUCCAAGCACCAUGUUACUCAAAUUGACUCAGUCAACAAGGCUUUUUUUUUUGGUUGGCAGAAGCCAUGGAAUCAGGGCCAAAAGCAGAAUUUCCUCCAUAUGUCUUAUGUCUCAUUAGAUGUAGCCUAAAAUAUUAGGCACUGCACCGUAACACCACCAUCAGGCUGAUCAGACUCAUCUCGCUCGCCAGAGUAACCAGAGGGACUACUACCUAAUGCCCAAGUUUCAUUUCUGUACCACAAUACAGUCUGGUCUGCACAAGUGGCUGUUAUAGAGGAUAAUAAUAAUAAUAAUAAUAAUAAUAAUAAUAAUAAUAAUAAAGAAAUCCUAACAAAAGUAUUAUAGUUAUUUCACGUUAGGUGCUUGGACCCCUUAUAAUCAUAAUCUCCAUCUUCGUCUAAAAAGUGUGAGCUGUUUUUUAAAGCCUAGUUCCUAGUGCCAAACUCUUUACAUUUUUGCAACUUGUUUACAAGAUUGCUCUUAUUUAUCACAAUAAAACUACACAAUACAAACAUAAUGUAACAAAAUACGACACACCGAAACGUUACUCUGGCACCACCUAGAGGUAGUCCGGGCAAUUAAAGUGACUUCCCCCACCCCCCGAAUGCCGCAAUUUCCAAUUUGUUUCCAAACACAGAAGAUCCGUUAUGUUGAAGAUAAAGGCUGUAGUGGGGGCCUGAACGGUUGGGUUCGAGUGAAUUUCGAAAAAAACAGUUUGCAAAUUAUGUUCUAAGCCUGCGUUCACACCAGCAACGAGUUUUGAAAACAAACAAGCAAACGAUAGUCCUAAAGGAUUCUUUUUUUGGGGGGAGAGGAGGAAUCCAUAGAAGUUCUCUAUAGAACCUUACACCAGAAAGUUUAGACACACGUUUCAAACACACUUCCAGGAACCAUUUAAAGAACCAUUGAAACACCCUUUUUUUCCAGAAGCCACCUCUGUAGGCUCACCCCACUACCUCCAACCGUAUGCUAAUGUUCACGCUCUGUCACAGCUUUGCCUGGAGCCAUGCCGUACAUUAUAAACUAUUUGAACAGAUGCUUUGAAAACAAAACCUCAUCUCGUUUUUGUUGGUCCUGCACCACACCGAGAAGUACAAAUCCCAUUACUGUGCUAGUGCUCGUGUGAACGUGAGCUCACUUUCAGACACCAAUCAGACGGUUCUAACGUUCUCAGCUGCACUCCUGUGGACCUCGUACUCGCCACAGUUUCGUCUCUUCACAUGGAAAAGGGUAUUUUUGAAAGUGAAAAUUUCCUCUUUGGGUUUUUUUGCACUCUCGUUGACAAAAACCGCAUUCUGGGGUCACGGAAAAACCAAGGCGAAGAAAUUUUGAACGAUUUUUGAAAAUGUAAACAAAAAAAAUUCAGUAAACAGUAAAAAAAAAAAACAUCAAGUUUACUUAUGAUAUAUUCCUUUUACGAAUCGCUUUCUUAACGUCCCUCAUAGAAAUGGUUUCCACAAGGCUGACAUUUUCACCGCGAACUGUUCGAGAGUUUUUUAAUCCUCGCCAUUAACAUUAUUUGUAUUAUUAAGUGUUUGACUUGAUUCGUUGUUUUUUUUCUUGCGCGGACAUUCGGCCUUUUUCCCUCUUUCCUAUGAAAAUGGACCCCAAAAACGGCACUUUUUCUGUUUUCAGUGGUUGAAAUUUCUGCUCAUCCAACGUAAACGUAUUCAGCUGACAUUAGCUACGUGAGUGUGUGAUGUUCGUGAAUUGGAAUAUACACUGGUAGAAACGUGUUUCGUAUUAAUGAACUCGAAACCUUCUCUGUUUACUGCGACGGAAAGCGCCGACGUCGCGUCAGCUCAGUGUUCGAGAUGGAAAAACGUUACUGGGGCGGAUGUGGAUCAGGUGGUAGAGCGGGUUGUCCGCUAAUCGUACGGUUGGGGGUUCGAUUCCCAGCAAGACGCUGAACCCCGAGUUGCUCGCGAUGGAAAGUUAGCGCCUUGCAUGGCAGCUCUGCUACCACUGGUGUGUGAGUGUGUGUGUGUGUGUGAAUGAGACACGGUGUAAAGCGCUUUGGAUAAAA